AGUUGUGGUGGUUUUCUUUCUGGCACAUUUGUUAAGUUUUCAGAUGGGCCUAAUUCUGCCACAUAUGUAGGAGCUGGCAAAGGCUUGAUGACAAAGAGAUCUCUUUCUAGCCUUUUUUGCAUCAAAAGUGGGCUCCCACAGGU